rnacentral:rRNA from 1 species
CAAGCACUUCGCUCUGAUGCAGAGCUAGCUUUUGCUUACAAACUUCAUAUGGUAACUCACAUAAACUGCUAAAAUUACUUAGAUAAACGAUUAUUAAUUAAAAAUUAGCAUCGCAUUUAAGUUAAUAGGGUAAUUAGUCCCUAAGGCAACGCCAGCAACACCAAUGAAUUAUUUUGUACCACGCAGUUAGGAAACUAAGCCACAGACAUAGCAAAUAGAAGUGACUAAUGUAGGUGCCAGCAGUCGCGGUUAAACCUCAACUUCAAGUUAAUUUUCACAUAACCACAACACAUUUUAUUAAAAUGAUUACAAACCUAAGCCAUAGAAGUAAAAUUCCAUAGCCACCCUAUAACCAAACAUAUCAUACCUUAAAAUGUGUUAACAAACCACACCUACAAGACAUGGAUUAGAUACCCAUUUAUUGAGUGGCUCAACUCCUAAAAACUAAAAACGAAAGUUUCAAACUUAAAUAGCGUGGCGGUAUUCUACACCAUAUUAGGGGAUCCUGUGGCUUAAUUCGAUAAUCCACGAUACAUCCAAGCUUUGUUAGCCUACAGCUUAUGUAUGGCCGUUUUAAGUCUGCAUACCAACAGGACAAAAGGAGACAUCUGAGAUAUACACAUAUCUCACUAAUACAGGUGACAUAUAGCCAAUACAAUGCGGUUCAUGGGAUACAAAUGAUUAAACCAACCUGAAUAAUAUGAAACCUUAAUCUAAGGGAGGACUUAAAAGUAAGACUGUAUCACUACUGCAGCCUGAAUAAGACAUAGAAUGCGCACAAAUCGCCCGUCACUCCUGGUAAUUUAAGCCGGGAUAAGUCGUAACACAGUAGGGGUAGCGGAAGCUGCCCCUAUACA